rnacentral:rRNA from 1 species
UAUGAGAGUUUGAUCCUGGCUCAGGACGAACGCUGGCGGCGUGCCUAAUACAUGCAAGUCGUACGCUUCUUUUUCCACCGGAGCUUGCUCCACCGGGAAAAGAAGAGUGGCGAACGGGUGAGUAACACGUGGGUAACCUGCCCAUCAGAAGGGGAUAACACUUGGAAACAGGUGCUAAUACCGUAUAACAAUCGAAACCGCAUGGUUUUGAUUUGAAAGGCGCUUUCGGGUGUCGCUGAUGGAUGGACCCGCGGUGCAUUAGCUAGUUGGUGAGGUAACGGCUCACCAAGGCCACGAUGCAUAGCCGACCUGAGAGGGUGAUCGGCCACAUUGGGACUGAGACACGGCCCAAACUCCUACGGGAGGCAGCAGUAGGGAAUCUUCGGCAAUGGACGAAAGUCUGACCGAGCAACGCCGCGUGAGUGAAGAAGGUUUUCGGAUCGUAAAACUCUGUUGUUAGAGAAGAACAAGGAUGAGAGUAACUGUUCAUCCCUUGACGGUAUCUAACCAGAAAGCCACGGCUAACUACGUGCCAGCAGCCGCGGUAAUACGUAGGUGGCAAGCGUUGUCCGGAUUUAUUGGGCGUAAAGCGAGCGCAGGCGGUUUCUUAAGUCUGAUGUGAAAGCCCCCGGCUCAACCGGGGAGGGUCAUUGGAAACUGGGAGACUUGAGUGCAGAAGAGGAGAGUGGAAUUCCAUGUGUAGCGGUGAAAUGCGUAGAUAUAUGGAGGAACACCAGUGGCGAAGGCGGCUCUCUGGUCUGUAACUGACGCUGAGGCUCGAAAGCGUGGGGAGCAAACAGGAUUAGAUACCCUGGUAGUCCACGCCGUAAACGAUGAGUGCUAAGUGUUGGAGGGUUUCCGCCCUUCAGUGCUGCAGCUAACGCAUUAAGCACUCCGCCUGGGGAGUACGACCGCAAGGUUGAAACUCAAAGGAAUUGACGGGGGCCCGCACAAGCGGUGGAGCAUGUGGUUUAAUUCGAAGCAACGCGAAGAACCUUACCAGGUCUUGACAUCCUUUGACCACUCUAGAGAUAGAGCUUCCCCUUCGGGGGCAAAGUGACAGGUGGUGCAUGGUUGUCGUCAGCUCGUGUCGUGAGAUGUUGGGUUAAGUCCCGCAACGAGCGCAACCCUUAUUGUUAGUUGCCAUCAUUCAGUUGGGCACUCUAGCAAGACUGCCGGUGACAAACCGGAGGAAGGUGGGGAUGACGUCAAAUCAUCAUGCCCCUUAUGACCUGGGCUACACACGUGCUACAAUGGGAAGUACAACGAGUCGCGAAGUCGCGAGGCUAAGCUAAUCUCUUAAAGCUUCUCUCAGUUCGGAUUGUAGGCUGCAACUCGCCUACAUGAAGCCGGAAUCGCUAGUAAUCGCGGAUCAGCACGCCGCGGUGAAUACGUUCCCGGGCCUUGUACACACCGCCCGUCACACCACGAGAGUUUGUAACACCCGAAGUCGGUGAGGUAACCUUUUGGAGCCAGCCGCCUAAGGUGGGAUAGAUGAUUGGGGUGAAGUCGUAACAAGGUAGCCGUAUCGGAAGGUGCGGCUGGAUCACCUCCUUUCUAAGGAA